rnacentral:rRNA from 1 species
UACAGGGGGGGCAAGCGUUGUUCGGAAUUACUGGGCGUAAAGGGCGAGUAGGCGGCCAACUAAGUCCGACGUGAAAUCCCCAAGCUUAACCUGGGAACUGCGUCGGAUACUGGAUGGCUUGAAUUCGGGAGAGGGAUGCGGAAUUCCAGGUGUAGCGGUGAAAUGCGUAGAUAUCUGGAGGAACACCGGUGGCGAAGGCGGCUUCCUGGACCGACACUGACGCUGAGGCGCGAAAGCUAGGGGAGCAAACGGG